UUAUCAGACCAUUUAGGCUUAAACCUUGUGAUAUGCAAAAAUGCUGAUUUCUGAAAUUAAUUUCAGUGAAAGCUGUACUAAUAGUUUGGAAGUAUUACUGUCUGUGUUUGUUUUUCUAGGAGCUGGCUGGCUUAGAAUGUGCUCUUGAGGGAGCAGGAAGGAACAUUUCAAACUCCCCAAACAUCUAGGCUUGUGUCCAAGUGUCAGGAUGACUUUCUCCAGCCUGAAGCAGCUUGUCCCUUUCCACUUCUAUUUAUUCUGUGGUGUAGCAGAAUUUUCUGGAUGUCUACAGACCAGUGCCUCCAGGGAGACUGGGGACUGCUGUGAUCCCUGCCUAUGUGCUUCCUAUACAUGGAUGCAUAUGUGAUUUGAAGUAUACAAACCUGCUUCUAUCUCUUCCCUAAAACAAACUAUUAAACCUGCAUAUUUGGCCAUCUAGGUUUAACAGAGUUUGAGUGCUCAACUGCCACUUCAACAUCUCUCAGCAAUUCGGCUCCCGCAAUAGCCCUCCCAAAACGCUAGCUAUGAAUUAAAAUGAAUUAGAGCCUGCAGAGUGACUGCAGUGACUGUGAGGAGGAAGUCCUUGCUGCUGUUUCUUCGUUUAGACAAUUGAGGAGAAGUUUAAUGUCAGCAGUAUGGGGCAUCAGGUGAUAAUAUUUGACUUUUCGCUCAUAAGAGGACUCUGGGAGGCUCGAGUCAAGAAGAACAAAGAACGUCAGAGGAAAGAGAAAGAGAGAUUAGAAAAAAGUUCAUUAGAG